GGUUACGCUCUUGGCUGAAAGGCAGCACGGAAAAUGGACAUUUCUAGCACAUUUAAAGAGAAACAGAGAAGCGAUGCUGACCCCGUGCCAGGACCACCGAGCAGGCACGGGGGUCACAGUGACACGACAGUCCUGCAAAGCCACUGCCGGUUCACGUGUCUGCAGGCACAUCGAUAUUAAGAACCCCUGGGGACAACAUGAUACACGCAGUCACCAAUCACUGUAAUCCUCCUAGAUUUCAUGUUAAUUGAAUAUGAGUAUAAAAUUCUUUUCUCAC
ensembl:lncRNA